GCAGCCGUGGUGUAGUGGUAGCAUUAGACCCUUCCAAGGUCUCAGCCGGGGUUCGAAUCCCCGCGGCUGCA
rfam:Archaeon GW2011_AR10 chromosome, complete genome.